GGUCGCCCUCACAUGCAUAGAGAGAGCUAGCGAAAGGAAGAGGAGCGAGCUGCCAUUUCGGUCGGUCGGGGGAAGCAGAUGGCCGCCGGCGACGUGGCGACCGCCUUCCUGGAGACGAGCCUCGGCACCCGCCUCGCCGUCUCCUUCCCCGCCUCAUCCACCACCGCCGACCUCAAGCGUACGUACCUCCCUUUCUUGCUUGCUUGUCAACUUUUUUCUUUUCUCGAGCUGUUCUUGCUUGUCUAUGAUCUAUGAUGAUGGAUCAGUCCCAGCUCCUGGCCUUUUAGUUCUUGAAUCAGAUCAGAUGAAUUCAGUUUCUUCAAUCAAAAACAAUAAGGUGUGCAUCAUGGGCGCCUCCUCGAGCUCGAGCUAGCCACCGCAUCAGGGUAAAAAGGGGCGAGCGUUACGACCUAGCCUGGGGGUCUCCGCACGAGCCCCUUCUCCUCUUUGACGCCGCCGCCUCCUCUCCUCUCCUCUCUCGAUUCUCCUCCCCUGCGUCUCCCCUUCCGCGUGCCAUCGACCUCACUCCUCUACGUCUCUCCUCGUCGGUCGUCGCUCCGAGUCACGGAUCCAUGGGGUUGAGAGGAAGAUGUGCUCUUCCAUGGCGUCAAGAGGAGGAGGAGGCGCUUCUCCUACCAGAUCCGUGGCCACCAUGUCGCCCAGCUCCAUGGCUUCCUCUCUCCUUCUCAGGCGGGCGAUGGUGCGCGACAUGGCCAGGCGGGACCUGCGCAAGCAGCACCUCUGAUGAGGCACAUGUUGCGGGCUAGCAGCGAUUGGAGGGGGCGCCGUUGCAGAUCCUCAUCGUUUCUCUGGGAGAGGAGCUCGUCAAUGAUCCAUUUUUCUCCAUGGAUUCACGAUGGAGCUGCCCUAGGAGGAGCUUCUUAUCUUCAAGGAGAGGAACACGCAGCUGAAGAACUCGACAUGGAGGAUCUGAAACUUCGCAAGGAAGAAGGAGAGGUACGUCAGCAACAAGUUAAGCAAUAAGUACACGGCGGUGAUCAGAGGCAAUGGACAUUCAGACAUUCCUAUAAUUUUCUGUACUAUUCGUCACCCAGGCUGCAGAAUAAGUUAUUCUUCAUCCGAGGUUUGUGUUACUAUUUGUCUUGUUUAAAUGGCCAAAGGUUCAUGGGAAUUUCUAUGGAAUGUCACUCAAGGAGGGUCAGACAUAGUUCAAAGUUGAGUGAUAUCCUCAUGGCCAACAAGGAUUGAUCCUGAUUCAAGAUGGAAAGUUUUGCUUUCAUGCGAGUGUCAUAUACAUGUAUUGUUUCUUGGGCAUUGAAAGUUAAGGAAAACACUUGUUUGAUUGGUUGAGCGCAGCUUCCCAUUUGUUACUUCAGUUAGAAAAUUUCAGUUUGAGUCUGCACCAUAAUUCCUAACAAUUCAAUGAAGGUCCGGUUUUGUUUUAUCCUUUUUUAUUGCUUCAUAUUCAAUGAGUUCCAAGAUAUAUUAGAUAACUAUUAAUAGUUGUAGAUGUUGCAGGUUGCAGAUACUAAAUUUAGGAUUCAUUUAGUAUCCAAUGCUUUCAUUUUCACACCGGUACUGAAUGAUCCAAUACUAAAUUUAGGGGUCAUUUUCCAGCUACACCAUGUAUUUGAUUUUUCACUUCAUGACAAUAAGUGUCAAUUAUACUAGCAUGUCCUGAACUCUUUUGCUUGGUCAUGAGGAGAGCAGUGGGUGAAAAUGUUGGUUUAGAAAUUCAAAACAUCAAAGAAGUGGUCGGGGGUCUGGUCAUGGUAAGCAAACACUUUACAGUGUGAGUCCGGCUUAUCAUUUGGACUUGAUUUAAUGAUAUGAACAAUGAUGCGUACGCAUUUCCAGAAUAUAGUUUCUUCAAUGCAGCGUGUGUGUCUUUUACUCUAGCUUUUGUAUGCUAAUACUUCCACAAAAAUGUAUGGCAUCUUUGCAUUGUACAUUAUAAUGUCUGAUUAUUUGUUAGUCAGGUUGAGAUCAUAAAUGCAUCAUUAGUCCAUCGAUCCAGUGUGAUUGCUUAGAUCCAGCAGGGCAUACCUUGCUGCUAGCUUUAUACUAUCUAGAGCAUAUUUCUUUUUCUCUUUGUUUAAUUAAAUAGCAUAAUACUAUUGUUAUCAAGAAAUAUGAACAGGCGACAUUAUAGAUCUAUGUCUUCAUGUUCCCACCUGAUGUUCUUCCAUUUACAGCAAUCUACUUGUUGGGUGAUAAUCUUGACAAUCAUAAAACCUUUCAGGUCUGCCUAUCUGUUGAUGGUGAUUCUAGCAAAGGUAAUGAUGCAGCAAAAAUGAUGGGAGCGACUCUUCUCGAGAUAUCUUGCAAGUUUGUGCCCGCUUUCCAGAAUCUGAGAAACUAAAACUCAUGAGUAUUUUGUUGUGUUUAUUAUCACAGCGGACACCACAAUUCUAAAGCUGUUACGACUCGGGAGAUGAGUGCCUGAUGGUACUGUUGCUGCAUGUCGGCCAGCCCUAUCAGUAUCGAUCUGCCGUUUUGGGCUACAGCUAAGCUUUGCUACUGCUCUAAAUUGCAGUCUUUUGACCAACCGUGUUACCAAUGAUCAAUAAAUUUUCCCUUCCAGCAUUGCCUUAAUUGUCUCUACUCUGGCACUGCAAGGUUUGGUUGUCAAUUUUGUGGUAGUCAUUUUGCAACAGUGAGUAGUGGUUUCUUUUCAGAAAAGAGUAGUGUGUUGUUUGUGUGGGUGCACAUUAUUUAGAAUCUUAUUGUCGUUGCUUUCAAAAUAAGUAUCAUGGUGCCUGCCCACAUAUUCAGCUCAUAAUUUGUCGUUGCUUUCCACUUUGUUUAUACAGAUGUUUCUUCGUGCAAUGAAUUAGAAUUAAUCAUGAAAUAAUUUUCUUAAGAUUUCGUGAAGCUGCUCAUUGUUUAAUCUGGUCCGUGCUUAAUGCUUUGUUUAGCAUGUUGCUUAGCUGUGUUAAGUGCUUGGUCUUUGUUUAGCUUUGUGUUGUCAUUAGUGCAUGGUACUCAUUGUUUAUUGUGAUCAGUGCUUAAUACCUUGUUUACUGAACUUUGUUUGCUCCUACUUAAUUAAAAAGCUGAUGCCAGUGUUCAUUGUUUACUGAACUUUGCAAGUGGUGAUUGUUUAUUUGUUAAAAAUGGAUGUGUCAUGUGCUUGGUGUGCAUAACCCUUCACAAACCUCUUUAAUAAACAUGUUAGGUUGUCGGCAGUAGCGACAUCAAAGGAUGGAGGGUGCGCCUGCUAUAACUCCGGCGGGACGCUAGAGCUCGUGGCGACGUUUACAGCGGUGUGCCUGGGUGCCAUGCAGGAUGGAUCUGACUCUGUGGCCGAGAUGACGAGGACCAACUGAGGGGGGCUCGACAAGGCGGCGCUGCCAGCCAUGCCGGUGUUCAGAUUCAUCCCGUCCGCGAUGGGUUGUUAGUUGGUACUCCCUCCGUUCCAAAAUAGAUUGUACUGGCUUUGUAAUAAAAUUAGUACAAAGUUGAGUCAUCUAUUUUAAAACGGAGGGAGUAGCUGCUGCAUACGUGUUGCUUGAUUGUUUUUCCUUACUAGAAGCGUGGGUGCCUACCGCUGCUUGAUGGUUAGCCAUCGAGUUCAUAAUUUUCUGUGUUAGCUUGCUUCAGUUGGAACCGAUAUUGUUUUGACAUGAUUAGUAUAUCGUAAUACUACUUGCCUUUUGCAUAUGCACCCGUUAAUGUCUAUAAUGUGAUUCUCUUCUAGAUAAAUUUGCAUUUCUGCUGCUUUGAUCUGUUGAAAAUGUCACUUAAAGCACAUUCAUUACUUACUUAGUAAAAAGAAAGACCUUGGAAGCGGCGCGCCCCAACUACUAGUUUCCUUCAUUUUCUGGGUUUGUACCUGCAGGAAGAGUGAGGCAUGAACACGCCGCAACUUUCCCCGACAUCGGCCACAUCGCCGUCCAAUCCAUCAAGGAAGGUCGAGAGCAGAGGCCUGUGGUUCCAUCUCGCCGACUCCAUGGCCGUCCGGGAUGCAUUCCGGUUCCACGGGAUCAACCAAGCAUGGCACCUUCAAGCAGAUGCAGCUCUGCUUCCAGAUUCUGAGUAGGCAGGCUAACG